rnacentral:rRNA from 1 species
GAGUUUGAUCCUGGCUCAGAUUGAACGCUGGCGGCAGGCCUAACACAUGCAAGUCGAACGGUAACAGAAAGCAGCUUGCUGCUUUGCUGACGAGUGGCGGACGGGUGAGUAAUGUCUGGGAAACUGCCUGAUGGAGGGGGAUAACUACUGGAAACGGUAGCUAAUACCGCAUAACGUCGCAAGACCAAAGAGGGGGACCUUCGGGCCUCUUGCCAUCGGAUGUGCCCAGAUGGGAUUAGCUUGUUGGUGGGGUAACGGCUCACCAAGGCGACGAUCUCUAGCUGGUCUGAGAGGAUGACCAGCCACACUGGAACUGAGACACGGUCCAGACUCCUACGGGAGGCAGCAGUGGGGAAUAUUGCACAAUGGGCGCAAGCCUGAUGCAGCCAUGCCGCGUGUAUGAAGAAGGCCUUCGGGUUGUAAAGUACUUUCAGCGGGGAGGAAGGGAGUAAAGUUAAUACCUUUGCUCAUUGACGUUACCCGCAGA